UGGGGAAUCUUGCACAAUGGGGGCAACCCUGAUGCAGCGACGCCGCGUGAGCGAUGAAGCCCUUCGGGGCGUAAAGCUCUUUCGACCGGAACGAUAAUGGCGGUACCGGGAGAAGAAGCUGCGGCUGACUACGUGCCAGCAGCCGCGGUAAUACGUAGGCAGCAAGCGUUGUUCGGAGUUACUGGGCGUAAAGAGUGCGUAGGCGGUUUUCUAAGUUCGGUGUGAAAUCUCCCGGCUUAACUGGGAGGGUGCGCCGAAGACUGGGAAGCUGGAGUGUGGGAAAGGCAGGCGGAAUUCCUGGUGUAGCGGUGAAAUGCGUAGAUAUCAGGAGGAACACCGGCGGUGUAGACGGCUUGCUAGACCAUAACUGACGCUGAGGCACGAAAGCGUGGGUAGCAAACA
rnacentral:rRNA from 1 species